rnacentral:lncRNA from 1 species
GUGUAUAUAUCUUGCUGGAUCGUAAAAUAAGACAGUUUACAAGAUCGAAGCUCAUUUGACUUGAGCGUAUUUGUUCGAACGGUUCGAACAAAAUCAAACGAGGACGACGACGUUUUUAUUAUUGUUGCUAAGUCGACUCGAUCACAGAUGGCGACACCUGCAGCUGAAAAAGCGUUUCUUUAUUCUCUUUAUCUCCCGUUUUUAUUGUUGUUUCUAUAGACGUGUAUACGCAUCGCGUGGAACUAACCAAUAUCCAUUCAAUUUAUGAGGUACAAAGUAAAUAAAUCGCUGCUACAUGAAAUGGCAGAAAAAGUGAGCAAAUAAAUAUUCAUUUCGCAAUAUAAGGCCAUAUCUGUGGGGUGUGCGAGUACAUUUGUAAAUGGGGUGAUUUGUUUCUCGGGCAAAUUCUCUAUAUACUCGGGUGCAUGCUUCGACGAAUAAGAGCUUCUGCGUUGAAUCCGAGAUAUCCGUUGCGUGUGCGUGCGUGCGUGCGGGCGCGCGGUUCGACGACGAAACGUAUAUAUUUUGCUGUUUCACGAAAGCAUGAAAGAGCAGAGCAACCGGUCGUGGGUCAUCGCGGUGUUGCUGUUGCUGGCUCUCGCCACUCUCGCACUGCUUGGGAGCGAGAGACAAAAAUAGAUUGUUACUUUAUUAGAAGAAUCCGCAUGCGGGUACGGAUACAGGCUGUUCCUAAAGUUGCGCCCUCGCUCUGGAAAACACCUCGUCAGAUUUAUAAAACGUCAUUUCUCAAAAUCGGGAACAACCGAACGGGGCUCGUGCGAGCAGCCGAGACCGGGAGAGAAACACCGUUCUUCGACGAAUUCCACGAGUCCCUCAACUCCUCGGUCGUUCGCAACUAUAUUGCUCGCUCUCUCGGUUCUCGCUCCCUCCCUCCCUCUCUUGCUAUCUCAAGGCACAGCCGGUUAGUACGUGGAAUGACGACAACGUGAGGAAUGAGACUUCGCAUGGAUGCGAAGAGGCCGCAAAGGGGUUGCAGCCGCCGACUGUUGCGAUGCCUCCGCAAGAGAAGAUUCGAGCAGCAGCUUGUUAUAGACGAAAAGACCAGGAAUAUUCAAUGGAGGAGAGAACAAGAUGGAGCGAGAUGAAAAAAAGAAACGGGAACGAGAAAAAAUGAGAAAGAAAGUCUGAGCGAAGCGAGCGCUUCGCAUAUUCGGAAUCAUAUUCCUCGUGUCAUCUGGUGGAGAAAACUGCAACUUUUCAUCGUGUCCUUAAUUUAGUAUACUUAUUUUCGUGUUGCGCCGCGCGAGCCCGAUUUAUUUUACGAUUUGCCCAUUUAGCCUAACGAAAUUGAAUAUUUCGUUAAAAUUCUCGUAUUCGUGAUAAAACUAACCUCACUAAAGUUCUGCAAGUUUUCAUUUGUAUGCGUCUUGUGUGUUUUAUGUACAGUGUCAAAAAAAAUGUUCUUCCCGAUCAAAAUUUAGGUUAAUUCGCAACUUCGAAGCUACGAAACGCGUCAAACGUUUCGGGUUCUGGUCAAUAAAUAAGAGAUCUUAUUGAACGUCGAGAGCGGCAAGAUUCUCCGGAAAAUAUCUUUGUCGACUUGUAUCGCACAGAGAUAAGCAUAUAUUGGAGGAGUUCGGAGAGCUCUACAGUCGAGAAACAGCGCGAAGAGGGGCGCUACAGGAGGGGGCAGGGAGAGCCAAGCAGUACGUGCUCUAUAGUUUUGUUCUGGCGAAGCUACAUUAACGGUAACGAAGCCGAGAGUUGCGCGACUGGAUGAGAGAGAAAGAGAGAGAAGAGGCGGUACUGGACCGGGAAGGAGAGAAAGAGUGGGAACGAAGAAACAGAGAAGAGAAGGUUAUUAUGAGGACAUUGUACGAGCGAGUGAAAUCGACGCGAUAGAGUGGGUGAACAAAAUCCUGUGCUGUCGCUGCUGCGCCGAGUACGAUAGGGGAAAUAACAGUCGCGGUUCGAGUUUCACCGCGUGCGUGUAAACUCUGGUGUACGAAUAUACUCGUACAUUUAUGUUUACCAAUAACGAGAUAUACGCAUUUGUAUCUGCCUAUACAUAAAAUAUGCUGAUUUACUACGA